rnacentral:lncRNA from 1 species
UGACUCCUCACUAAGACUACUUUGACUAAAGUUUUACUAAAUUGAAAUAUUAUGAUGCAUCAUCUCCAAUUUUACUUGGAGCAGUCAAUCCCAUCUUGACUCACACUCACACUUCAUAAGUACUUGACUGUACCUAGUAACCUUCUAUCAUCGAAUUAGAAAUUCGGAUAGUCCGGCACCUAAGCAUAGUGAGUUUCUUACAAGUCACUAAAGCAGUCAC